CUUGUCUCUAUAAGAGGUCCAGCCUGCCCAGUGACCCAGUUCAACGGCCGCGGUAUCCUAACCGUGCAAAGGUAGCGUAAUCACUUGUCUUUUAAAUAAAGACUAGUAUGAAAGGCACCACGAGAAUUAAACUGUCUCCUUUUUCCAAUCAAUGAACCUAAUACCCCCGUGAAGAAGCGGGGAUUUUAUAAUAAGACGAGAAGACCCUAUGGAGCUUUAAGCAUCAUAAUCACCUGCCCACAAACCCACAAACCAAAAAACUCAGGUUCCACGCCCAAACCCAUAAUGAUUAUAUGCUUUUGGUUGGGGUGACCGCGGAGAAAAACCCAUCCCCCGCGAUGAAAAUACUACCCAAACAACAAGCCACAGCUUUAUGUAUCAACAAAUUGACACCAUUGACCCAAUAUAUUGAUUAACGAAC
rnacentral:rRNA from 1 species